UGAGGAAUGGUGUACCUGUCUGGCCAAAGGGGCUUGAGGGACAACCAGAGAUUGGUUCUGGCUGCAUUUGCUGAAGCUGGGAGAUAGAGUACCUGAGAACUUUAACCCUAAGGUGGAUCAUUUAUAUUCACUUCUAAAUGAAAACUCACAAGCUUCCAAAGAUCCUAAGCAAUAGCAAUAUCAUAUUGUGAUAAAUGUGGGGCUCACCUCGGACUGCAUCCUUGCCAUCUUGCUGCACACCAGUGGGCCUGGGCCCUGAAGUUACUGGGUCCAAACUCGUUCCUGAUGUAUCACAGCUGAAGUCAGGAGUUUUCCAAUAGAGAUUAAUCUGGAUCAUUGAGAGGAGCCUGGACAGUACCUUCCAACACUUAGCUCAUGUAAAGGCACAGUCACUUGAGUGAGGCUAAAAAAUUACCCAUGCCAAGAUGUGGUCAAAUUCUGCACCCAAUUUCACUUAGUGACACCCUGGGUAACUCAGUGGGGCUGCAUGAAGUUCAAGUCCGUGCAGAAUGUGUUCCAGAAACAGAAGCAUUAAUGUUUGAAAAGAAGCACUAAAAAGUACUACAGAAUACUUAAACUGCUCUUGCAAUCAGGGCUGGCCCUAGACCAAAUGGCACCCCAGGCAAGGAGCGUCU